UGGAGUAUAGGCAUCAGUUUUUGGUACCGACAUGCAAAGGUUCGGAUCCUUUUACUCCAA
rnacentral:tRNA from 1 species